rnacentral:rRNA from 1 species
AGACCCGAAACCCGGUGAUCUAGCCAUGGGCAGGUUGAAGGUUGGGUAACACUAACUGGAGGACCGAACCGACUAAUGUUGAAAAAUUAGCGGAUGACCUGUGGCUGGGGGUGAAAGGCCAAUCAAACCGGGAGAUAGCUGGUUCUCCCCGAAAGCUAUUUAGGUAGCGCCUCGUGAAUUCAUCUCCGGGGGUAGAGCACUGUUUCGGCUAGGGGGCCAUCCCGGCUUACCAACCCGAUGCAAACUGCGAAUACCGGAGAAUGUUAUCACGGGAGACACACGGCGGGUGCUAACGUCCGUCGUGAAGAGGGAAACAACCCAGACCGCCAGCUAAGGUCCCAAAGUCAUGGUUAAGUGGGAAACGAUGUGGGAAGGCCCAGACAGCCAGGAUGUUGGCUUAGAAGCAGCCAUCAUUUAAAGAAAGCGUAAUAGCUCACUGGUCGAGUCGGCCUGCGCGGAAGAUGUAACGGGGCUAAACCAUGCACCGAAGCUGCGGCAGCGAACGUAUCACCCAAGACAACUUUACGGAGUUGACGAUUGACGGAGCGAAGCGACGUCAAAGCGUUCAUUAAAGUCGAGUUGGCUUAGGGAUACGUUCGUUGGGUAGGGGAGCGUUCUGUAAGCCUGUGAAGGUGUGUCGUGAGGCAUGCUGGAGGUAUCAGAAGUGCGAAUGCUGACAUAAGUAACGAUAAAGCGGGUGAAAAGCCCGCUCGCCGGAAGACCAAGGGUUCCUGUCCAACGUUAAUCGGGGCAGGGUGAGUCGACCCCUAAGGCGAGGCCGAAAGGCGUAGUCGAUGGGAAACGGGUUAAUAUUCCCGUACUUGGUGUUACUGCGAAGGGGGGACGGAGAAGGCUAUGUUGGCCGGGCGACGGUUGUCCCGGUUUAAGCGUGUAGGUGUGUGUUCCAGGUAAAUCCGGUUCACUUUAACACUGAGGCGUGACGACGAGGCACUACGGUGCUGAAGCAACAAAUGCCCUGCUUCCAGGAAAAGCCUCUAAGCAUCAGGUAACAUCAAAUCGUACCCCAAACCGACACAGGUGGUCAGGUAGAGAAUACCAAGGCGCUUGAGAGAACUCGGGUGAAGGAACUAGGCAAAAUGGUGCCGUAACUUCGGGAGAAGGCACGCUGACACGUAGGUGAAGUGAUUUACUCAUGGAGCUGAAGUCAGUCGAAGAUACCAGCUGGCUGCAACUGUUUAUUAAAAACACAGCACUGUGCAAACACGAAAGUGGACGUAUACGGUGUGACGCCUGCCCGGUGCCGGAAGGUUAAUUGAUGGGGUCAGCGCAAGCGAAGCUCCUGAUCGAAGCCCCGGUAAACGGCGGCCGUAACUAUAACGGUCCUAAGGUAGCGAAAUUCCUUGUCGGGUAAGUUCCGACCUGCACGAAUGGCGUAAUGAUGGCCAGGCUGUCUCCACCCGAGACUCAGUGAAAUUGAACUCGCUGUGAAGAUGCAGUGUACCCGCGGCAAGACGGAAAGACCCCGUGAACCUUUACUAUAGCUUGACACUGAACAUUGAGCCUUGAUGUGUAGGAUAGGUGGGAGGCUUUGAAGUGUGGACGCCAGUCUGCAUGGAGCCGACCUUGAAAUACCACCCUUUAAUGUUUGAUGUUCUAACGUGGACCCGUAAUCCGGGUUGCGGACAGUGUCUGGUGGGUAGUUUGACUGGGGCGGUCUCCUCCUAAAGAGUAACGGAGGAGCACGAAGGUUGGCUAAUCCUGGUCGGACAUCAGGAGGUUAGUGCAAUGGCAUAAGCCAGCUUGACUGCGAGCGUGACGGCGCGAGCAGGUGCGAAAGCAGGUCAUAGUGAUCCGGUGGUUCUGAAUGGAAGGGCCAUCGCUCAACGGAUAAAAGGUACUCCGGGGAUAACAGGCUGAUACCGCCCAAGAGUUCAUAUCGACGGCGGUGUUUGGCACCUCGAUGUCGGCUCAUCACAUCCUGGGGCUGAAGUAGGUCCCAAGGGUAUGGCUGUUCGCCAUUUAAAGUGGUACGCGAGCUGGGUUUAGAACGUCGUGAGACAGUUCGGUCCCUAUCUGCCGUGGGCGCUGGAGAACUGAGGGGGGCUGCUCCUAGUACGAGAGGACCGGAGUGGAC